rnacentral:rRNA from 1 species
AACGCUACUGGCGUGCUUAACUCAUGCAAGUCGAACGAUGAUCCCAGCUUGCUGGGGGAUUAGUGGCGAACGGGUGAGUAACACGUGAGUAACCUGCCCUUAACUCUGGGAUAAGCCUGGGAAACUGGGUCUAAUACCGGAUAUGACUCCUCAUCGCAUGGUGGGGGGUGGAAAGCUUUAUUGUGGUUUUGGAUGGACUCGCGGCCUAUCAGCUUGUUGGUGAGGUAAUGGCUCACCAAGGCGACGACGGGUAGCCGGCCUGAGAGGGUGACCGGCCACACUGGGACUGAGACACGGCCCAGACUCCUACGGGAGGCAGCAGUGGGGAAUAUUGCACAAUGGGCGAAAGCCUGAUGCAGCGACGCCGCGUGAGGGAUGACGGCCUUCGGGUUGUAAACCUCUUUCAGUAGGGAAGAAGCGAAAGUGACGGUACCUGCAGAAGAAGCGCCGGCUAACUACGUGCCAGCAGCCGCGGUAAUACGUAGGGCGCAAGCGUUAUCCGGAAUUAUUGGGCGUAAAGAGCUCGUAGGCGGUUUGUCGCGUCUGCCGUGAAAGUCCGGGGCUCAACUCCGGAUCUGCGGUGGGUACGGGCAGACUAGAGUGAUGUAGGGGAGACUGGAAUUCCUGGUGUAGCGGUGAAAUGCGCAGAUAUCAGGAGGAACACCGAUGGCGAAGGCAGGUCUCUGGGCAUUAACUGACGCUGAGGAGCGAAAGCAUGGGGGAGCGAACAGGAUUAGAUCCCC